CACGCCCUAAACGAUGAAUACUCGUUGUUGGCGAUAUACAGUCAGCGACUAAGCGAAAGCGUUAAGUAUUCCACCUGGGGAGUACGUUCGCAAGAAUGAAACUCAAAGAAAUUGGCGGGGGUCCGCACAAGCGGUGGAUUAUGUGGUUUAAUUCGAUGAUACGCGAGGAACCUUACCAGGGCUAGAAUGGGAGGAGAAUAUGGGUGAAAGCUCAUAGCUAGCAAUAGCUGCUUCCAAGGUGC
rnacentral:rRNA from 1 species